CUUUUUGGCCCCAAAAUAUAGCAGUUUUACAAAAUUGUUAAAAUGUAAACUUUUAGUUAUUUAUUGGACAGUAGAAUGAUUCUGCUACAUAAAUAUGGGCUGUUUUUGACAAUACAAUGCACAUAUAUCGGGUACUAGCACCAUUAAGUCCUGCUAAAUUACUGAAAUCUUUACAAUUCUAGCAUUUUAGUUAAAUUUUAGACGGUUUUCGUGUGAAACGAAAGUGGCCGCAUUCGUGUUCAUCCUUAAUAUUGAAAUGUAAGUUGUAUUUUAUGAUAAUACAUAACAUAUAUAAAGGUUAAGGAUGAACACGGAUGCGGCCACUUUCAUUUUUGACAAAAACCAUCUGAAAAGUGACAUUUUUUCGGCAUAUUUGGUAGAUUUUUCAUAUUUGAGCUUGAAUCGGGUCGUUUUUAA
rnacentral:lncRNA from 1 species